rnacentral:lncRNA from 1 species
AUUCUUGAGCCAUCUUGCUGGCGACGCCCUUUUGAGACCCAUCCUCAGAUCUUCAGUGAAGCACAGCUCUGGAGAAUACACAAGGGGAGUUCUGAAGGAGGUCCAGCAGGCUACCAGCUUGGAAGGCAGGUGGAGAAGGAGUUGUGAUCUUUGGCCUGCAGUCUACAGACGGUUCAGUAGUGGAACUUCCCAUGACCCUGGCGGCCACCAUUCAUCCCUAUCAGGAAGGUGUGAAGCAUUUCCAGCCGCGCCCGAAUCCACAUUCCCAAACAACGCAGUGUGCCAGUCCCUCACGAGCCCCACAAAUGCCAC